rfam:Cricetulus griseus cell line CHO-K1, whole genome shotgun sequence.
AGAUGUGAGGGCAAACUGGCUGAAAUAUUUCUCACCCUCUGUUUGCUAGGGUUGAUUCUGCUAAUCUGGCUGGCUAGGCCUGUGUCCACUUCCUCCCUUACCACUCCAUGUGUGUCCCUCCUACAUGCUUGGUCAAAGAGGACAGAGGACGACCUUCCCUGAAUAGACUAGGACCAUCUUCGGUCAAGGGUAUUCAGUAGCUGUGCUCCUCUGCUGGAGCCUGCAAACAAGCUCUCAAGAAUGGAAAGAAAAUUCUGAAAGUCCUACUCCAGAGUGGCCUUUCCUACAUCU